UUAUUACCCUUCUUUUGCAGAGCCAUCGGUUCCGGCUGCUGCAUCUUCUGAGGCUGAUCGUGGCAAGGGCGUUGCGAGUUAGAGCCCUACCCGACGAGUUGCUGAGAUAGAGGAUCCCUGUUACAAGUAGUGUUACUUUUGUUUGAGUUCAUGUACAUACAGAUGUUAUAACUCGUUGAGACGAGUCCUUUUUGUACCUGGAUACUAUGUAUGUAUAUGGAAUGCGCUUUUGUUUUACCUAUUCUUUUUCUUUCUAGCAGCUCUAUACUACUGGUUGUAGUGUUGUUUGAUUACAGUUUCAGUACAGCUUCGCUUCGUAUACAGGAAAAAUUCCUUCGUAUACGGCGGGUCUGUUGGCGUGCCCGGAGAAACGUGUAAUCCGGGGCGUGACAAUUUCAUAAUUAUUUCAAAUUUCAAAUUUCAAAUUUCAAAUUUCAUCUUUGAAAUUUAAAAUUUAAAUUUAUAUUUUUAAAUAUUAAAAUUUUAUAUUGAAUUUCAUAAUUAUUUAUAUUUUUAAAUUUAAAUUUAAAUUUUUAAAUUUUAAAAUUUAUAUUUUAAAUUUCAUAAUUAUUGUAAAUUUAAAAUUUUUAUAUUUUAAAUUUUAAAUUUUUAAAAUUUAAAAUUUAAAAUUAUUAAAUUUUAAAUUUUUAAAAUUUUAAAGUAUGUUUAAAUUAAAAUAUCAAAUCCUAAAUUUUGUACAAUUUUGAAAUUGAAAAAUUUUAAUUUUAAUUGAAAUUUAAAUUUAGAUUUUAAAUAAUUUUAAAAUGAAAUUUAAUAAAAAUAUUAAUUUAUGUGAACAUCAAAAUUUUUUUGCCGAACAGCUUUUCAAAAUCAUUUCAGAAAAAUCGAUUUUAUCUAAACUCAGCCAAACGCUCUACAGCUUUUAACCAAAAUCAUUUCUCCAAACCAAAAUUACUUUUUCAGAAAUCACUUUUUCAGAAAUCACUUUUUUAAAAACUAGGCCAAACGGGCCCAUACCUUACCCUGCUUAUACUCCUAUUUUCAUUCAAACAAAAAAUUACUCUUACCUUUUGUUAUACCUACAGUUGUAUCUAUUUCUGAAAUAACUAGUUCUUAUUUAUAUUCGUACCAAACGAAGCCUAAGAUAGCGUUUGGAUCGGAGAUAAGGAGAGGGAUAAUCCUUUAUCCCCUUUAUACCCAAACACAAAUUUUUUACUCGAGAAUAGUAGUUAUCGGGUAUCUAAAAUAAGCUAGUAUAACUAUCCCCACCGAUACCUUCAUUUUCUACUAUCUAUUAUUUUUCUUAUUUCAUAUUAUCUAUUCAAAUGCUAUUUUUCUUAUUCUCGGAAAUAAUUCAAUUUUCAUCCAAAUGCUAUUUUUCUUAUCCCUAUACUUGUAUCUACUCUUACAAUAACUAAUUCUUACUUAUACCCCAAACAAAACGAAGCCUAAGCCUUGUUUGGUUGGGGGUUAAGGGGUGGAAUAACCCCUUAACCCCCAUUUUAUCCCCAAACACCCCAGAAAAUGGAUGGGGUUAGCUAAUCCCAUCUCAAAUAAAUUAUCCCGGGUUAGCUAAUCCCACCUAACCCCACUAAACUCCAACCAAACACUAUUUUAUAUUCAUAAUAACCCACUAUCUUUCUUAUCACACCUACUCCAACCAAUCAUUAUCCUUCUUUAUCAAUCAUUAUCUUCUUAUCCCACCUACUCCAACCAAACACUAUUUUUCAUUAUUCUAGACUAACUCCAACCCCCAACCAAACACAAAAAAACUUUAACCCCACUUUAACCCUGAACUUAACCCUAUCCCUGAAAUAGCUACUUUUUCCUUAACCCCGAACCAAACGGAGGCUAAUAGUUUAAUUUUACCCGUUUCUUUUUUAUUUUAUUUUCCGAACAACAAUUUAAGCACC
rnacentral:lncRNA from 1 species